rnacentral:rRNA from 1 species
AUUGAACGCUGGCGGCAGGCCUAACACAUGCAAGUCGAGCGGAUGAAGGGAGCUUGCUCCUGGAUUCAGCGGCGGACGGGUGAGUAAUGCCUAGGAAUCUGCCUGGUAGUGGGGGAUAACGUCCGGAAACGGGCGCUAAUACCGCAUACGUCCUGAGGGAGAAAGUGGGGGAUCUUCGGACCUCACGCUAUCAGAUGAGCCUAGGUCGGAUUAGCUAGUUGGUGGGGUAAAGGCCUACCAAGGCGACGAUCCGUAACUGGUCUGAGAGGAUGAUCAGUCACACUGGAACUGAGACACGGUCCAGACUCCUACGGGAGGCAGCAGUGGGGAAUAUUGGACAAUGGGCGAAAGCCGGAUCCAGCCAUGCCGCGUGUGUGAAGAAGGUCUUCGGAUUGUAAAGCACUUUAAGUUGGGAGGAAGGGCAGUAAGUUAAUACCUUGCUGUUUUGACGUUACCAACAGAAUAAGCACCGGCUAACUUCGUG